GUCAUCAAGAGACUCAACUCGUCAAUGUCACAUCACGUCAACUCACCUGGCUUCACCUGCAGAGAGCAGCAAGCCAGGACGCAGUCCUGCUCAGAGCGGACCACGCGGGCCUCCAUGGCGCCGCCCGUUCUGUUUAAGGCCAGUCGGAUGUUGACCAUGGCGCCCUGGUGCUGUCUGGAGAAACACGUGUCUGGCUCCGCCCCCACCACAACCGCAAACGCAACCAGGCCCAGCAUACUUAGGAGUGCCCGAGUCAUGGCGGGAGAAGGUCCACGAAUGUUCUGGAAAGUCUUUCAAGGAGGAACUGCCGACAUAAAGACAAAGACAGCGCUAAUAUUAGCAUUAGCAUUGGCGGUUUCCCCUGAGCCCUGUGGGACGCCAACACAAGGUAGAGCCAGCACGUGAGGACAGGAGGAGAGCAAAUGGAGUAAAAAUAGAACAUCGAAAAAGAUUCCGUCCUUUUUUGAGACCAAAGAAAAGAAGAACUCCCCAGAACAGAACACACACCUCCUCCUCAGGAACCAAGAACCUUUCAGUCCUAAAGUCCACAGAACAGGACUUUAGACUGCAUUAAUUGUCCUUAUCUCGGUUCUGUUUGUCCUAACUACUAAGCUCAGAUGGACCUUGUCUCAGCAGAUAAACUCCACUGAUAUAACACUAAAUACAUAUUGUAAAAAUGCACAUUUGAAAGGAAUAAAUGACAGCGCGAGCGGUAAUGUUGCUAGCUAAAUAGCUAGCUUGCAUGGAGAUGACUACUUUCAUAAUUACAACAGCUUCCUGUUGAAUUUCUCGGAACCAGCAUUGCUCCCGAACCGACACUGAAAAGCUACAAAGAUGUUUGGAUGAAGCCAGCCUGACAAAGAAUGGAAGAAUCCAACAACAAAGAGCAGCCUUGCUUAAAUUGCUUCAAAUCGCGCUGGAAUUUCGGGGCUCGUGAGCUUGUUGACGUCAAACGUCCGGCACUGGUACCGUACACUCAACCGGCUCUAAACGCACACACCUGAUGGGGUUCUGGCGCGGCAGUGUCGUCCUCACAGCGGUUCCGUCCUCAGGAGCCCAGCAGCCGCCUCCAUCCCGAGCCCACGACAGAAAGCGUCUGCCCGUCGGAACCAGCGCGUUAACCCGCAAACGGACAGGGAGGACGCCAAACCGGCAGCUGGCGUCUGGAUGAAGAAGCAACCUUCCAAGCUGGCUGGUAAACAAGCAAUCAUGCUGGGAGUCCAAGACAACAACCAAUCAGUUAUUCCACGUCGACCAUGUCAACGUCCUGACAGCCUUUUGUCUUCUUCUCCUGGUUUGGAUCGCACGUUGUCGUCGUCUUCUUUGGUGGAGAAGCUGCAGCUUCCACUGGACAACAAAAACGCACGCGGAGUCCACAAACUACUGUUAGCAUGUUCUAGAACCUCAGUGUGAUGCUAAGCUACCUGUUUUACCUUCCAUUCCGGCCUUGUCCCUGUGGAGGCGCUGCAGCUGUUUGAGCAGCUUCCGCUUCUUCUUUCCAGACAAAGUGAUGUUGGCUCUUGGACUGGUACUGAAGAACAAGUCAGACGGUGAUGGAUGGUGAUGAGGCCCCCGUCCACCACGGCGCCGACGAUCUGAUGCUGCUGCUUCUUCUUCUCUCGCCUUAGAAGUCGCCGCCGCUUCAAAAGCUUCUUGGCCAGCUCCUACAUCAGUCCAUAUUAGACCUGGUGCACUUUGAAAACCACUAGACCUAGACCACCUCUAAAAUCUGGACUGGAUUCAUCUACAGACCCCAAAGGUUCAUAAAAACAGUUUGCCAUUUGUGAAACCUUUAUUCUAUUUGUGAAAAUGCAAUAAAGGUACACUUUCUACAUUUUCAACCACUAGUCCAUAUUAUGCCUGGUCUACUUUGAGAACCACUAAGUUUUUGACUUCUCAAAUAUGGACUGUAUUAAUGUACAAACCCCAAAGGUUCAUAAAAAAACAGUCUGUGAACUGUGAAACAUUUACUCUACCUGCGAAAAUGUAAUAAAGGCACAUUUAGAUGUGUUUUUUAGCACCUAGUCCAUAUUAGACUUGGCCCACUCCGAAAACCACUAGACCAGGGGUGGAAAUUAUGUCGAUCGCAAGCUACCGGUAGAUCGUGUAAACGUCACUUUGUAGUUGUCAUAUGACAUCAGUCAGCUGACAUUAAGCUCCCCUCCUGAUUGGCGCUCGCUCCCCCGCAGCGUUUCAAGCUAACACAAAGAUGCAACUUUCAUCUUUAUGAUUGUGAUUAUGGAUGAACUAACUCUGCUCCAAGAUGUUUGUAUCUACAACUAAAGUUAUCUGUUCACUUGUAGCGGCUAGCUACGUAGAAAAAAAGUGUAUUGUUGACUGGCUUUGCUUGGCGUCAUGAACUCUACUACAGAAAUCAGUGUUUUCUACACGUUGGCUUCUUAAACUAAUAUUUCAUGAUGACAUUAAAAAUGUGCCCAUUGGUGAAACCUUUUCAAUAUGUUGCCUUGACUUGGGCUGCAUUGUCUUUUGCAUCAUCAUUUUACAUUCUUGUAUAUCAGUAAUGUUUGCUAGCAAAUGCUAACUGGAUGUAAUACAUGAAGUGUGUGCCCUAAUGAACGUUACAUAGCUAAUGUGACAUAUUAGCAGUACUCACUCACUAGUACACAACUAUUUAGGACUUAUGUGGAAUGAUUUUUAUUUCCAUAUUGAAGUGAAUUAUGAUAGCAACUACUUUGAUGACCUGGAAACUUUGAACAUGUGAAUGUGAAAUACUAAUCAUGAAUAUUUACAAUAGAAUUUCAGUUUACUGGUUACAUUUUGUAUAUGUUAUAUGUUUUAUAGAAAGAGGUAGAUCAUUUGGACUUGUACUUGCAUGCUGAGAAAGUGCGUGCACUCCUGAUAUGUAUGUAUAACCUACAGAAAUACAUACUCAUAUUUUCAUUUUAAAAGUAGCUCGCAGGCUAAAAAGUGUGAGCACCCCUGCACUAGACCUAGACCUCUCAGAUCUGGACUGGAUUAAUCUUCAGACCCCAAAGGUUCAUAAAAACACAGUUUGUGAUUUGUGAAACAUUUGUUCUAUUUGGGAAAAUGCAAUAAAAGCACUUUUUUUCAGCAUCUUGGCCAUACUAGACCUGCAGGUCCGUUGCUCGUUGUUUAUGUGAGCAGUCUAGCUAACUGCCGUGACGACUGUCUUAUGUGUUAUCAGCGUUAAA